GUUUAUGUCUACACCCUGUGCUAUGUGUGAGUCCCUGUUUGAAGAUAAUUAAAUUCUGUGGUUUGUACUCCUGGUCUCCUUGAUCCUUGAUGUGCUCCUCACAGUAGCAUACCUGUGACUGAAUACCGGACCAAAUCAAAAAUGGAGAAAUGAGUGAGAUUCAUAGCCGUGGCCCAAGUGAGCCCCAACCCCAUCAUCUUCCUGAGGGCGUUUGUGCUGCUGACGCUGUUCUGGAUCGGGCUAACUUCAUCCCACGGAGCUCCCAGACACCACCAACCUCGACUGGAAGGAGACAGUCAUCCGGUGUCUGGAUAGUCUCCAAUCCCGAUCCGGAACCACUCCACCGGCUGGUCCCUAGUCAAGUCAGCUGUCUGUGGCUCACCCAUGCCCGCCGCCAUCAUCCGCGUCCAGAGCUCACUCCAGUGUUGGCUCCUGCCACAAAACUCACUCCAGUGCCAGCUCCUCGAAAGUGCUUUGCUGUGCCUGUUCCUCCAGUGCACCCUACAGUGCCAGCACCACGUAAGCGCAUCCCGAUCCCGAGUUAAGCCCAGGGAGGGCUCCUAUUUCUCCAGUUCAGCCCAGGAGGGGCUCCUGUGCCUGAGUAUAGCCCAUGGAGGGCUCCCGAUCCCCAGUUCAGCCCAGGAGGGGCUCCCGGUUCCCGAGUAUAGCCCAUUGAGGGGCUCCUGAUCCCCUGUUAAGCCCAGGGAGGGCUUUUGAUCUCCCAUUAAGCCCAGGGAGGGUUCCAGGCCCCGAGUUCAGACCCGUAAGUUCCCCCAAGUAUUUUUGGGGGGUUGGGGGUAGUAGGGAUCCAGCUGUAGAGGCUGAGGCAUGCAUGGGGGCCUCCCGAGUCUCCAGAUCCGCCAUGGCCUCCCGCGUCUCCUGAUCUGCCAUGGCCUCCUAUCAUUUGUCUACACCCUGUGCUACGUGUGAUUCCCUGUGUGAAGAUAAUUAAAUUCUGUGGUUUGUA